rnacentral:rRNA from 1 species
CCUACGGGCGGCUGCAGUGAGGAAUAUUGGUCAAUGGACGCAAGUCUGAACCAGCCACGUCGCGUGAAGGAAGACGGCCCUACGGGUUGUAAACUUCUUUUGUAAGGGAAUAAAGUGAGUCACGUGUGGCUUUUUGCAUGUACCUUACGAAUAAGGAUCGGCUAACUCCGUGCCAGCAGCCGCGGUAAUACGGAGGAUCCGAGCGUUAUCCGGAUUUAUUGGGUUUAAAGGGUGCUCAGGCGGGCCAUUAAGUCGGCGGUGAAAUUUUGCGGCUCAACCGUAAAAGUGCCUUCGAUACUGGUGGUCUUGAGUGUGGAUGAGGUAGGCGGAAUUUGUGGUGUAGCGGUGAAAUGCAUAGAUAUCACGAGGAACUCCGAUUGCUAAGGCAGCUUACUAAGCCAUAACUGACGCUCAAGCACGAAGGCGUGGGGAUCAAACAGGAUUAGAUACCCCAGUAGUC